UCCCUGGUGGUCCAGUGGUUAAGACUCUGACUUCCAAGGCAGCGAGUGCAGGUUCGAUCCCUGGUCGGGGAG
rnacentral:tRNA from 1 species